UACGGAGGGUGCUAACGUUGUUCGGUUUUACUGGGCUUAAAGGGCACGUAGGCGGCUGGCUCAGUCAGGUGUGAAAGCCCUCGGCUCAACCGAGGAAUGGCAUGUGAUACUGGCCGGCUUGAGUGGAGAAGGGGAGAGCGGAACUUCUGGUGUAGCGGUGAAAUGCGUAGAUAUCAGAAGGAACGCCGGUGGCGAAAGCGGCUCUCUGGUCUCCUACUGACGCUGAGGUGCGAAAGCCAGGGGAGCGAACGGGAUUAGAUACCCUCGUA
rnacentral:rRNA from 1 species